ensembl:lncRNA
ACAUGGGUUCCAAAAGAUACCAUCUGUCUUCUCUGAGGCUGCACUAGAGACAUAGUUAGGAUUGAGUUAAGAAUUCAGUCUGUCCCAUACAGUCCCAUGAGAUACAAAUUGAACUAAUUAUAAGAAGUAGUUGAGAGAGAAAGAUGACAAGCACUUUUUCCAAGUGUGGUACUAUUGUUCACAGUUAUUCUGUCUCCUCUCCCAGAAGGAUUGUAUACCCUCACCUGCUGAACUCAGGAGGAGAAGAAUGACAUCCCACUCUUUGAGAUGAAAGGACCUCAAGAAGACAGUCCCAAGAAAGCCAUGUUCAGUUAAGGCAGGGUGAGGGCAUGAGGAGCUCACUUACCAUGACGUGGGCAUUCCAGAAGGCAUGGUGAAUGAAGUUGGCCAGGAGACAACAGUUGGGGGUGGUAGGGAAGGCAGGGGGUGGCAAGAGAUGGGGAAGAACGAGCAGUAUUAGGGUGAGAGCCUGGAAGGAACUCAUAUUUCAACCAAAAAAAUAGGUAUCAGAGCCCUGGGGGGAUUGAGCGGCCUUGAUCUAACUGCAUCUGGUCUCUGCUAGGACAAGGCAGUUUCCAUGUGUGAUGUAAGCUCAGGCUCUGGCCCUGGGUGGUAAUCCAGGCUGCAGGGUAGGGAGGGAGGUUGGGGAGAGGGAUUGUCAGGUUGUUUGCACCCAGUUCAGCAGCCUACAUCCUUUGCUCUCACCUUUGAGUAGAAUUGAUUUAAAUAGAAUCCAAUUUGUUAGGAGACUGUGAAGUUCAUUUCUGGCUAGAGAAGUACACAAUACCCAAGAAAAAACGGUGUUGAAGUAUUGUAUCUUCGGAAGGCCGUUUCCAGGCACUCUUGAGUACUUGGGAAUGAGGCCUAAGUGCUAACUCUUACCAAGCCUUUGUUCAUAAGAACAAGUUAGUAUCGGGGAUUAAGUGGAUUGGGGUUCAGAUGGAUUUAAAAAGUGGGAAAGACUGAGGGUCCAGGCUUCAGUUUUGCUGGAGAUUAAUACCAGAGAAGAGACAUGGAGGAAAUUGAGGCACAAAAACUUGCCCAAAAUCACACAGGUUGUAAAUGGCAGAGUAGUGUUCAGACCUAGCUCAGUUGAGUAACACAGGGCUUUCACCCUGGUAUUCCCCCAUUGAGCCUUGACAGACCAAUAGAUGAAUACACUGGACUGUAAGAAUAUACAAUCCCAGUGUUACCAGAAUAAUACUUUCAGAUACUUUGUAUGAUUUUAUUUAGAGGAGCCAAGAUACAGUGCCUGACUGUAGCUAUGUCUCAGGUUGUCUUCCCAGGGCUCAUGGACAGGCAGCAGCUUCCAUGAACAGUAUGAGAAGGCCAGGUUAGGCGCAGCAGGAAAUAGUUCGGUGACCCAUGAGUCAAGUCUGCCAUGGGCUCAGGGGUGUGGAAUGAGAGACUGCCAUGGGUUUGCUAACCCUGGCAGUCUCGGGAUUGGGGGCUGGGUUCUUGUCUAGCUCAGUGCUUCACCCUGGCCUCAGAUAGGGUCAGCUGGAGAGCUCUAAAAAGUGUCAGUAACUCAGGCCUUAGGCCCAGAAAAUCUGAUUCAUUUUUCUGCAGCGAGACCCAAGCAUUGGUACUUUUCAACAACUCUCCCACUUAUUCUAGCGUAGUACAGCCAGGGUUACAAUCCACUAACAGCAAUAAGACCUUGGGCAUAUCAUUUUCCUCUCUGGGCUUUAGUAUCCUCACCUAUUACAAAACAAUUAUCUAAAAGAGCUUACUGCCUGUAUAAAAAUAUUAGGUUAUACUAAGUGAUUUUUAAUGUCCCUCCCAGAAUUAAAGUUCCAUGAAUCUCUUUUCAUAAUGUAAUCGUUCAGAAAUAAUUAUUUCAUUUAGGGUUGAGUGCGUAUUGUGAUCAGUGUUUCUCUUAGUCCCCUAGAAACAGUCAGUGCCAACUUCAAGGUUUGAGUUCCCUAAUGACCAAUUCACUUUACAUAGAAAAGAAUAACAGCCUCCAAAGGUUGACAAUACAAAUUCUUCCCAUUAGGAGAAGUAUCUUAGAGCGUGUGGCCCUCUAGAAAGUGAGUCAUUGGCACCAUCUUCCAUUGGAAAGAGCAGCACUUAUUAGCAAUGUUAGGUAGAAAGCAGGACUCUAGAAAGUGGAUGGAAAACAAUAGAGAAACUACGUAACGUAGAAGCCAUUUUAAGUUCUUAGAGUCAAGUAAAAUUGACAUUCACAGGUAUGUAGGGAAAAUUGUAAAAGAUCUGCUCUCAAAGAAUAUAAUGCUUAAUCCUUACAUAAUUUUUUGAGGGAUGGGGGAUUAGACAAGAGUUUGAAGGCACAGAUAAUGUGUGCACUCAUGAUGCUCAGCACCACGUCCUCAGCAAAGGAGCUCCAGGCCACUUCUUGCCUUUGCCCCUGUUAAUAAGCAGAGUCUCAGCCAGGCCCGGUGGCUCAAGCCUAUAAUCCCAGCACUUUGGGAGGCCGAGACGGGCGGAUCACGAGGUCAGGAGAUCGAGAUCAUCCCGGCUAACCCGGUGAAACCCCGUCUCUACUAAAAAAUACAAAGAAAAAAAAAAAAAAAAAA